rnacentral:rRNA from 1 species
GACGAGGGGUCCAAGCGUUGUUCGGAAUUAUUGGGCGUAAAGCGGGUGUAGGUGGCUCUAUAAGUCAGGAGUGAAAUCCCCAAGCUUAACUUGGGAAGUGCUUUUGAUACUGCAGAGCUUGAAUGUGGGAGAGGUUAAUAGAAUUCCAGGUGUAGUGGUGAAAUACGUAGAUAUCGAGAGGAACACCUGCGGCGAAGGCGGGUUGCUGGGCUGACACUGACGCUGAGGCGCGAAAGCCAGGGGAGCGAACGGG